rnacentral:lncRNA from 1 species
ACAUACUGAAUUUCAUGGAUGUGUAUUUGAUUAUGUCUGUAUUCUGGCUUAAUCAAGUUUCAAUUAAUGUAAUUGAAAUUGAUUUGGGCUCAUUUGUUGAGUAUGGUUUUGAAUUGGAUUCAAAUAAAUGUAAUUGGGCUUUAUGAUGAUUUAUUCCAUAUUUAUUCUAGUCCAAGUGUGACUUGGAUUGAUCUGAAAAUUGAACUAAUUGGAGUUCACAGGAAUCAGAUUCAUGUGGAAUUUUUCCGGAUCCAAAAUCUUUCAAAUUGGUCUUCAAUUUGGUUUAGAACCAAUAAUGGACCCAAGCCCAUUUUAAUUCAGCCCAUUUGAAUUAACCCAUUUAAGAAAAGUCAAUUUGAAUUGG